GACGAACCGAGCGAACGUUAUUCGGAAUCACUGGGCUUAAAGGGCGCGUAGGCGGGCCAUCAAGUCAGGGGUGAAAGCCCCCAGCUCAACUGGGGAAGUGCCUUUGAUACUGGUGGUCUCGAGGGGGAUAGGGGCGUGCGGAACUUCCGGUGGAGCGGUGAAAUGCGUAGAUAUCGGAAGGAACACCGGUGGCGAAAGCGGCGCGCUGGAUCCCUUCUGACGCUGAGGCGCGAAAGCCAGGGGAGCGAACGGG
rnacentral:rRNA from 2 species